GUCAAGUCAUCAUGGCCCUUACGUCUAGGGCUACACACGUGCUACAAUGGGCCGUACAAAGGGUUGCGAAGCCGCGAGGUGGAGCCAAUCCCAAAAAGCGGCCCUCAGUUCGGAUUGCAGUCUGCAACUCGACUGCAUGAAGCUGGAAUCGCUAGUAAUCGUGGAUCAGCUACGCCACGGUGAAUACGUUCCCGGGCCUU
rnacentral:rRNA from 1 species